rnacentral:rRNA from 1 species
AUGUAAAUUUUUGUGUGAAUUUUUAUUUAUUUUAAAAGUGAAUAAAUUUUAUUUUAGUCGCAGUAAUUAGUAUUAUUAAUUAAAGAAAUUUAGAAAUAGUAAUAUUAAAGAGUAUUGGCAAAAUUCGUGCCAGCAGUCGCGGUUAUACGAAUAAUACAAAUAAAUUUUUUUCAGUAAAAGUUAAAUUUUUAUUUAUAAAAUAUAAAUAAAUUUAUUAGGUGAAAUUUUAAAUUUAUAUAAUUUUAAAUAAAAAAAUUAUUGAAGCUUGGAAAUUUUAUAAAUAAACUAGGAUUAGAUACCCUAUUAUUUAAAAUGUAUUUUAUUUACUAAAGUAGUAGUAGUUAUGUUCUUGAAACUUAAAAAAUUUGGCGGUAUUUUAGUCUAUUCAGAGGAACCUGUCCUGUAAUCGAUGAUCCACGAUGGACCUUUCUUAAAUUUGUUUUUCAGUUUAUAUACCGUCGUUAUCAGAAUAUUUUAUAAGAAAAAUAAUUUUCUAGAAUUUUUAUAAAAAUUUAUAUCAGAUCAAGGUGUAGCUUAUAUUUAAGUAGAGAUGGGUUACAAUAAAUUUAUUUUUGGAUAUAAAUAUGAAAAAUUUAUUGAAAUUGGAUUUGAUAGUAAAAUUAUAASUAGAUUAAUAAUUUGAUUUUAGCUCUAAAAUGUGCACACAUCGCCCGUCGCUCUUAUUAUUAAGGUAAGAUAAGUCGUAACAUAGUAGAUGUA